UUGACCUCAAAUCAGGUAGGAUUACCCGCUGAACUUAAGCAUAUCAUA
rnacentral:rRNA from 1 species